UACGGAGGGUGCAAGCGUUACUCGGAAUUACUGGGCGUAAAGCGUGCGUAGGUGGUUUGGUAAGUCUGUAGUGAAAGCCCUGGGCUCAACCUGGGAACUGCGAUUGAAACUGGCUGACUAGAAUGUGGCAGAGGGUAGCGGAAUUCCUGGUGUAGCAGUGAAAUGCGUAGAUAUCAGGAGGAACACCCAUGGCGAAGGCAGCUACCUGGGUCAACAUUGACACUGAGGCACGAAAGCGUGGGGAGCAAACAGG
rnacentral:rRNA from 1 species